rnacentral:rRNA from 1 species
GUUCGAAAGAACUGCUAAUACCGCAUGUGGUUAUCGGGUUUAGAAACUGAUAACUAAAGGAGCAAUUCGCUUUGGGAGGGACCUGCGUCCCAUCAGCUAGUUGGUGAGGUAACGGCUCACCAAGGCUACGACGGGUAGGGGACCUGAGAGGGUGACCCCCCACAAUGGAACUGAAACACGGUCCAUACACCUACGGGUGGCAGCAGUAGGGAAUAUUGCACAAUGGGCGAAAGCCUGAUGCAGCAACGCCGCGUGUGCGAUGAAGGCCUUCGGUCGUAAAGCACUUUCUGAGAGAUGAGCAAGGACAGUAUCUCAGGAAUAAGUCUCGGCUAACUACGUGCCAGCAGCCGCGGUAAAACGUAGGAGGCGAGCGUUAUCCGGAUUCACUGGCGUAAGACGCGU